rnacentral:rRNA from 1 species
CCUACGGGGGGCAGCAGUAGGGAAUAUUGCUCAAUGGGGGAAACCCUGAAGCAGCAACGCCGCGUGGAGGAUGAAGGCUUUAGGAUUGUAAACUUCUUUUGUUAGAGAAGAUAAUGACGGUAUCUAACGAAUAAGCACCGGCGAACUCCGAGCCAGCAGCCGCGGCAAUACGGAGGGUGCAAGUGUUACUCGGAUUCACUGGGCGUAAAGGGCGCGUAGGCGGGUUAGCAAGUCAGAUGUGAAAUCCUGUGGCUUAACCGUAGAACUGCAUUUGAAACUGGUAUUCUAGAGUAUGGGAGAGGUAGGUGGAAUUCUUGGUGUAGCGGUGAAAUCCGUAGAGAUCAAGAGGAAUACUCAUUGCGAAGGCGGCCUGCUAGAACGUAACUGACGCUGAUGCGCGAAAGCGUGGGGAGCAAACAGGAUUAGAUACCCCUGUAGUC